CGCCCCUGGAAUGAGAUCAAUGGGUUCUGCCUGCCCAGUGACUAUACGUUAAACGGCUGCAGUACUCUGACUGUGCAAAGGUAGCAAAAUCAAUUGUUCAUUAAUUGUGGACUGGUAUCAACGGCUAGACGACAUGAAAGCUGUCUUUUUCUACUAAAACUGAAUUUUACUUUUAGGUGAAGAGGCCUAAUUUAUUGAGUGGGACGAGAAGACCCUAUUGAGCUUUAACUGUUUGUUAAUGCUUCUUAACAAUUUAGUUUGGGUUGGGGCAACCGGUCUUAAUUUUAAAACAAGACCAUUUUAUGUGUUGAUUUGAUUCAAUUGCGGACCCAAAAAUUUUUGAUCAUUAGAAAAAGUUACCUUAGGGAUAACAGCGUAAUUCUUUCAGAGAGUCCUUAUUGACGAAAGAGUUUGCGACCUCGAUGUUGGAUCAUAGUUUCCUAAGGGUGCAGCAGCUCUUGAGGGUUGGUUUGUUCAACCAUUAAAGCUAUACGC
rnacentral:rRNA from 1 species